UUCCCCUUCGGGGGGACAGGGUGACAGGUGGUGCAUGGUUGUCGUCAGCUCGUGUCGUGAGAUGUUCGGGUUAAGUCCCGCAACGAGCGCAACCCUCGACCUUAGUUGCCAGCAUUCAGUUGGGCACUCUAAGGUGACUGCCGGCUAAAAGUCGGAGGAAGGUGGGGAUGACGCCAAAUCAUCAUGCCCCUUAUGACCUGGGCUACACACGUGCUACAAUGGGCGGUACAAAGGGUCGCGAACCCGCGAGGGGGAGCCAAUCCCAAAAAGCCGCUCUCAGUUCGGAUUGCAGGCUGCAACUCGCCUGCAUGAAGCCGGAAUCGCUAGUAAUCGCGGAUCAGCAUGCCGCGGUGAAUACGUUCCCGGGCCUU
rnacentral:rRNA from 1 species